UCAAGAAUCGAAGUUGAGAUGAGGCGACGUAUUGAAAUUUGCGUAUUCAAAUAUGCAAAAGUAACAUAGACAGUUAUGCUAUAUAUUCACUUGAAUUUAAGGAUGUAGCAAGUGUAUACACGCUAAAAAUGUGUUCCUUGUUUCUCGCCUAUUUGUUGAUAUCUUGUCCUCUUGACAUUUUACUUCACUUCGUUUCUGGCAUAGAGAGCGUGUGGUUUAUAAAAUCUUAAUUGUCACAUAUCUCGGCGUCGACCAGGACAGGCGUCUUACAUGGAAAAAACAUAUUGAAGCGAAACGGGACCAAUUAAGACAUAAAUCCAGAGGACUGCAAAAGAGGACCAAAGUGCACAGUCUUAAGUGCUCAGAACCAUCACAGGAGCUCCAUGGAUAACUACAAAAGGAAACUCUCCACGCACCAAAAUCCUCUAGCCAGAUCGCUAAACCAAG